GGGUUGUGAGGUUAAGCGACUAAGCGUACACGGUGGAUGCCCUGGCAGUCAGAGGCGAUGAAGGACGUGCUAAUCUGCGAUAAGCGCCGGUAAGGUGAUAUGAACCGUUAUAACCGGCGAUUUCCGAAUGGGGAAACCCAGUGUGACUCGUCACACUAUCAUUAACUGAAUCCAUAGGUUAAUGAGGCGAACCGGGGGAACUGAAACAUCUAAGUACCCCGAGGAAAAGAAAUCAACCGAGAUUCCCCCAGUAGCG
rnacentral:rRNA from 1 species